UACGAGGGGGGCGAGCGUUGUUCGGAAUUAUUGGGCGUAAAGGGCGCGUAGGCGGUUGGAUAAGGCUUGUGUGAAAUCUUCGGGCUCAACUCGAAGUCUGCACGAGAAACUAUCUGGCUUGAGUGUGGGAGAGGUGAGUGGAAUUCCUGGUGUAGCGGUGAAAUGCGUAGAUAUCAGGAAGAACACCCGUGGCGAAGGCGGCUCUCUGGGACGGUACUGACGCUGAGACGCGAAAGCGUGGGGAGCGAACAGG
rnacentral:rRNA from 1 species